rnacentral:lncRNA from 1 species
CUCAUGUUUCUCGGAUUUAUAUAUGUUUCUUCAUCCUAUAGAUAUAUAUAUUCCCUCCCAUCUGUCAUCUUUGCAAAAAGGAUAAAAAUGUAGUCCCUUUGUAAUUAGCCCUUGUGUACUCUUCUCUCACUCUCUCUCUCUCUCUCUCUCUCUCUCUCUCUCUCUCUCUCUCUCCGCACUAAUAGUCUCUCUCGUUAUGCUUUGCUCGCCCAUGGUGGUUUUUGCCUGUAAUUUUAUUGAUUUGUGCCACUCGGAACCUUUCGCUGUGUGGGAGACUGACUCCAGGUUAAUUGCCU